AUUAGAUAAAAAACCAAUGCCCUUCGGGGCUUUCUGGUGAUUCAUAAUAACUAAACGAAUCGCAUGGCCUUGAGCCGGCGAUGGUUCAUUCAAAUUUCUGCCCUAUCAACUUUCGAUUGUAGGAUAGAGGCCUACAAUGGUUUCAACGGGUAACGGAGAAUUAGGGUUCGGUUCCGGAGAGGGAGCCUGAGAAACGGCUACCACAUCCAAGGAAGGCAGCAGGCGCGCAAAUUACCCAAUCCCGACACGGGGAGGUAGUGACAAUAAAUACUGAUACAGGGCUCUUUUGGGUCUUGUAAUUGGAAUGAGUACAAUUUAAAUCCCUUAACGAGGAACAAUUGGAGGGCAAGUCUGGUGCCAGCAGCCGCGGUAACUCCAGCUCCAAUAGCGUAUAUUAAAGUUGUUGCAGUUAAAAAGCUCGUAGUUGAACCUUGGGUCUGGCUGGCCGGUCCGCCUCACCGCGUGCACUGGUCCGGCCGGACCUUUCCUCUUGGGGAUCCGCAUGCCCUUUACUGGG
rnacentral:rRNA from 1 species